UGUAAGGGGAACAGAAAUGUACUUUCGAUAGCAAACAUGUUAUACAGCGAAUACAUAAUGAGAGGUAAAUAAAAUUAUCCUUAUCUAAAAUGUUAUGAACUUGUAUGUAAAUCUACAUCUGUUACUCUCUAAAGUAAACCAAUCUGCAUUGUCGUGACUUCAAAAGUAAGCUAGUGGUAGUAUGUUUGUUCUGGCUAAUUUCUAAAAUGGCUGAACUGAUUUUGAUGAUAACUAAAGCUACUUCUAUUAUAGAAAAAAAAAAUCAACAACCCAAUUUUUUUCAGAAGUAAUUAUUCUACACGGACAAAGUCGCGGACAACCGCUAGUAAAUAAUAAAACUGGUACCAAACAAAGAUUAUGUAGUGAUAGAAGCCUUACGUUGAACCCUGUGUUAUCAAUAAUAGACAAAUAUAAGUAAAUUAUUAUUAAUGUUUACUAUUUCACGUUCCAGGUAGUAAUCCAGAAUUUCUCAAGCUGAUUAAAGCGAAUUAGUAAUUACGAGAACAUGGUAUUCCUGAGUACACACGGACUGGUGUCCUUCCACGUGAUACUCUUAUAAUGAGGGGAUAUGAAAUGCAAUUUAUACAUACAUUUCAAGCGCAAAGGAGAUGUCCAAUGCAGAAUGCUACCAUUUAUUUUGAGCUAGGCCGUGACUGAAGACAAAUUUCAAGAUAAUGUUCCUGUCGCAGCAUUUGAGAAAAUACAGGAAAAAUGAGAGAAAUAUUUGGUUGGUGGCGUAAAAGUAUCGGGAGAUGAGGAACUUGAAACAUCGUUGUAUAUCCAUAAAGUACUUGAACCAUCAGUCAACGUCUCGGGCCAAUAACUCUCGGAUCAGAUGCGGGUCAUCCAACGCCAUCGUAGAUUGGACGAGGCUGCACUUGAAGCAAAUGCGAUUCAUAUUGUUCCUGUUGUAGCAUGUGAGCAGAUACAGGAAAAUGAGUGGCAUCUACAUAACAUCUGGUUGGUGGCGCCAAAAUAUCGUGAGAUGAGGGUUAACAACUUGGAAUAUCUUUGUAUUUCCAUCAAGUAUUGUCUUUUAAUCGAGACCUCACAGUACUAAUAUGACGAAAAAGAGAGGGAGAGAAUGAAAAAGCAAGAUUGAUCUGGAAUGAUAGAAAAACGUGGUGGUUAUGGGGCGUCAGUUGCUACGAAUACCAAGAAAUCAUGAGGAACAAGACAGUUUGCAGCUUGAAAGCGUCUUACGUAUCGUACAUCUCAUUCGAAACAGUUGGCUCUACCCUAAUAUUUCGUUGCAGAUGGCGCUUCGCUUGCAGCAAUGAAGAGCUGCGAGUCCCUACUCAUCAUCAUUAAUAAUCAUCGGCCUUCUAACAGAACCUUUCUUGCAAAUAAUUCAAUAAUGUAUGAAGGUAUUCAAAAAUUAUCUGCCGCAGCUUAGUGGAGUGCCUAGAGCAUUCAAAACCGUAAAACCUCGGAUUAGAGUUACAGUGAAUGAAUUAAUAUGAUCGAUGUGGAAUAUUGUUUUUUAAACUAAAAAUUGCAAUGUUUACCCAAAUUUUUUUUGUGCACUCCAUUUUUUCAUUGUUUAAACAAAUUAUUAUAAAAAAAUAAUGUUUGACCAUAUAUUUUCACUUUAAACAGUAUUUUUAUUUUAUUUAUAUGUUAAAUCUUACCUGAGUAGACAUAUAGGAACAUUUUUCAAAGAUACCUGUGUAUAAAAAUAGCAGUAGGGAUCUCGAACAGAUAGAAAAACGUGGAGGGGAGAGCGGAGCGACGGCUGCUAUUAUAUGUACAAUAGCAUUUCUCGGCUAGUUUAGUUGCAAGUAACACGUGUUCUGUGAAUAUUGUGCUUCUAUAACAGUAAAAAUUUGGUUUUUUAGUGAAAAAUUCUUGUAUAUUUUUGUACUGGAAGGUGUAUUGAAGACGACAUUAUUGAAGAGUUCAUUAUUGAAUUAAUUAAAUAAUAAAUAAAUCGAAAAUUAAAGAUCAGUUUCAAUAAACAAAAUAUAUGAUAAUAAUGAAUCAAAUACAAAUAAUUAAUUAUUAAUUGUUUUUUAUUAGAUUUCGAACAAUGGAUCAACCAACGGCUAGCAGCAUGGCUGAUGAAAAUAGCUGCAUAGUAGUAUGCAUUGGUAGAUAAAGAUCGUGAAAUAUAUAUUCUAAAACCAUCCCGAGGCAAAGUUCAACAGAAGAUAAUCUCAUCGAAAUGUUUAGAAAAAUCAUUACCAAAUUGUAAAGAACAUAUUCUUUUUUUACAUGCCUUUACGGGUUGUGACACUACUUCUGCGUUUUUCAAUAAAGGAAAAAUUAAGUUUGCCAAAAAUUUUGAGAAACGGAGUGAUUUACACGACUCAGUAAAAGUAUUAAAAAUAUCAAUGAAGACCCCAAUAAUAUAUUGCAAGCAGGUGUAGCAUGUAUUUUGAGCUUAUAUGGCGCUCCGUCUAAAACUCAUGAUUUAAAUACAUUGAGGUUCAAUUCUUUUAUAAAAGCAACAGCCAAUAAUACGAGUGUUCUUUUGUCAUCACUGCCUCCAACAACUGAUGCAGCGUUUGAGCACCUUAAAAGAGUGUACCUACAAAUUCAGAUAUGGCUAGGAAAUGACGUAGUUAUUGAAAAUUGGGGAUGGAAGUAUUCCAAUAACAUGUAUAUCCCAAUAACAAUGAAUCAAUUACCUGCUCCGGAUAAUUUAUUGCAAAUGUUAUUUUGUAAUUGAAAAAAGGGAUGCGGAGCUGCGUGUGGAUGCAGAAGAAGUAGUUUAUACUGCAGUGUAUCAUGUUUACAGUGCAGCGGAAAUAGUUGUUCCAAUACUUCACCUAUUAUACAGAUAGAUGAAGUAGAAGAAAAUAUUUGAUGUAGACAACAAUGUAAUAUAUUUAAAUAAACAGAUUUUGUACUAAUAUUUUUUUUCUUUUCAUUAGUUAUAAUUAAUUACCUUUUUUUUAAUGUACACAAUAGAGUGCGUUUCAUUUAUUAUUAAACUGGCCAAGAAGUUCCAUUGUACAUAGCAGCUGUCGCUCCGCUCUCCCCUCCACGUUUUUCUACCUGUUCAAGAUCCUUACUGCUAUUUUUAUACACAGGUAU